rnacentral:rRNA from 1 species
UACGAAGGGGGCUAGCGUUGUUCGGAUUUACUGGGCGUAAAGCGCACGUAGGCGGAUCGUUAAGUCGGGGGUGAAAUCCUGGAGCUCAACUCCAGAACUGCCUUCGAUACUGGCGAUCUUGAGUCCGGAAGAGGUGAGUGGAAUUCCUAGUGUAGAGGUGGAAUUCGUAGAUAUUAGGAAGAACACCAGUGGCGAAGGCGGCUCACUGGUCCGGUACUGACGCUAAGGUGCGAAAGCGUGGGGGAGCAAACAGG